UGAGUCAAAUGCUUGCCUCGCAAAUUCAAGCUGUGAGCGAUCCUGGUUUCGGCCAGGAGUAGAUCAGAGGCGCGUUUGCCGAGAAAGAACCCCUAAACGUUGAAGCCAAUCGACCGUACCAAAACCGACACAGGUGCGCGGGGUGAAUAACCUAAGGCGCUCGAGAUAACCCUCGUUAAGGAACUCUGCAAAAUUGCCCCGUAACUUCGGGAUAAGGGGUGCCACCUUCGGGUGGUCACAGUAAAGAGCUUCAGGCGACUGUUUACCAAAAACACAGGUCUCUGCAAACACGUAAGUGGAAGUAUAGGGACUGAAACCUGCCCAGUGCCGGAAGGUCAAGAGGAGGAGUUAGCCGCAAGGCGAAGCUUCGAAUCCAAGCCCCGGUAAACGGCGGCCGUAACUAUAACGGUCCUAAGGUAGCGAAAUUCCUUGUCGGGUAAGUUCCGACCCGCAUGAAUGGUCCAACGAUCUGAAGGCUGUCUCAACGAGGGGCUCGGUGAAAUUGUAUGAUUGGUGAAGAUACCGAUUACCAACAGCAGGACAGAAAGACCCCGUGGACCUUUACUACAACUUGACAUUGAGAUUUGAUUUACCACGCGCAGGAUAGGUGGGAGGCUUUGAAUCUGGGACUCCGGUCUCGGUGGAGCCAUCCUUGAGAUACCACCCUUGGUGAAUUGGGUUUCUAACUUACUGGCCGCAAUCGGUCAGGAGGACAUUGUUUGGUGGGUAGUUUGACUGGGGCGGUCGCCUCCUAAAGAGUAACGGAGGCGCACAAAGGUUCCCUCAGCAUGGUUGGAAAUCAUGCGUCGAGCGCAAAGGUAUAAGGGAGCUUGACUGUAAGGCAAACAAGCCGAGCAGGUGCGAAAGCAGGUCUUAGUGAUCCGGUGGUUGUGUGUGGAAACGCCAUCGCUCAACGGAUAAAAGGUACCCCGGGGAUAACAGGCUGAUCUUCCCCAAGAGUUCACAUCGACGGGAAGGUUUGGCACCUCGAUGUCGGCUCAUCGCAUCCUGGGGCUGUAGAAGGUCCCAAGGGUUGGUCUGUUCGCCCAUUAAAGCGGUACGUGAGCUGGGUUCAAUACGUCGUGAGACAGUAUGGUCCCUAUCCGCUGUUGGCGUUCGAGAACUUGAGAGGAUCUGCUUCUAGUACGAGAGGACCGAAGUGGGCGAACCGCUAGUGUACCAGUUAUCACGCCAGUGGUAUAAGCUGGGUAGCUAUGUUCGGGACGGAUAACCGCUGAAAGCAUCUAAGCGGGAAACCAGCCUCGAGAUGAGGUUCUCCAUUUGGACCGUGGUAGACUACCACGUUGAUAGGCUAUAGGUGUAAGUGCAGUAAUGCAUUCAGCCAAGUAGUACUAAUCGUCCAAUCGCCUUGACCU
rnacentral:rRNA from 1 species